rnacentral:rRNA from 1 species
UACGUAGGGGGCUAGCGUUGUCCGGAUUUAUUGGGCGUAAAGAGCGUGUAGGCGGCCAGGUAGGUCUGGUGUGAAAACUCGAGGCUUAACCUCGAGAUGUCAUCGGAAACCAUCUGGCUAGAGUCCGGAAGAGGAGAGUGGAAUUCCUGGUGUAACGGUGAAAUGCGCAGAUAUCAGGAAGAACACCAAUGGCGAAAGCAGCUCUCUGGGACGGUACUGACGCUGAGACGCGAAAGCGUGGGGAGCGAACAGG